rnacentral:rRNA from 1 species
AUUGAACGCUGGCGGCAUGCUUUACACAUGCAAGUCGAACGGUAACAGGCCUCCGGGUGCUGACGAGUGGCGAACGGGUGAGUAAUGCAUCGGAACGUGCCCAGUCGUGGGGGAUAACUCCGCGAAAGCUUAGCUAAUACCGCAUGCGAUCUGUGGAUGAAAGCGGGGGACCAUACAGCAUUGUUCGGUCUCGCCCCUCUGUAUCAGCCGAUGUCAGAUUAGGUAGUUGGUGGGGUAAAGGCCUACCAAGCCGACGAUCUGUAGCUGGUCUGAGAGGACGACCAGCCACACUGGGACUGAGACACGGCCCAGACUCCUACGGGAGGCAGCAGUGGGGAAUUUUGGACAAUGGGCGCAAGCCUGAUCCAGCAAUGCCGCGUGCAGGAAGAAGGCCUUCGGGUUGUAAACCGCUUUUGUACGGAACGAAAAGGCUCUGGCUAAUACCUGGGGCUGAUGACGGUACCGUAAGAAUAAGCACCGGCUAACUACGUG